rnacentral:lncRNA from 1 species
AUGGCUUAUAAAAUUUGAGAAAAAAAUGGAUAGUGAUUAGUAACAGUAAAAACAUUAAUAGGCAAACUUUUAUUUAUAGAAAAGGAAUAGCACUUGUUUCCAUAUUUCAAACAUAUUGUUGCAUAACCAAAUUGAGAGUUAGCAGUUUGUUAAAGCACCAAAAUAAUGUAACUCUUUAGGUCUGUGUUUACCAAGCCCUCCAUAAAAAAAGUCCCAAAAUAUCUUUCCAAACCAUCACCAAUUGUUCUUUUCUAAGAUUUUCUUUUUCCUGGUCUUCUUGAACCAACUCAUUGUCAUCUAAGUAACUUCUGUGUUUUCUUACCCUAGUACCUUUGCUUAUGUAAUUUCCCUUUCUGUUCAUCUAGACAAUAUAACCUUUGGAUACCUAUGUAUCUUUCAGAAUUUAGCUGAAGACCUACUUCUUUCAUCAUAUUUUCCUAGGAUGGUUAAGUCUGGGGUCAACAACCUCAACCUUCUUGACACAUUGCACAUCUAAAAUCUUUACAAUGGCUUUUGUAGUUAGUCAUACUUAACAGUCAGUUUUUAUGUCUUUCAAGGAAGGAAGGAAAAAAGGAAGGGAAGAAGGGAGGGUGGUAGGGAGGAGGGAGGGAGAGAGGGAGGAAGGAAGGAAGGAAGGAAGGAAGGAAGGAAGGAAGGAAGGAAGGAAGGAAGGAAGGAAGGAAGGAAGGAAGGAAGGAAGGAAGGAAAGAGAGAGAGAGAGAGAGAGAGAGAGAGAGAGAGAGAGAGAGAGAGAGAGAAAGAGUAAGGGGAGAGAAGGGAAUAAGGCUUAAAUACCCCCUCUAUUUAGGCUGGGCCAAAAGGCCCAAGCCCUUAGAUAGCUGAGGCAAAGAAAAGAGAUCAGUCCCUAUCACUCACAUGACCAAAAUGGUGAAACAGUCUCAGGGGCCUCCACCUCCAGACUCCUUCAGAGCAAGCCUUCUCAGAGCACAACCUCUCGACCUCCUCCUGUCUUCAGACCCUGCUAUCUUUAAAGAAACCAUCUAAAUUCCCUCCCCUCAGUUCUCACAUCUACCAAUCACUGUCCAUGUCUCCCCUGUGCCAAUGGUGGCUCUAGCUUAACCCAGGACAGCCCAGAGGUCUGCCCCCCUUUGCACAUGUCUGUUGAAGGUCAUAUUCUCAAAUAAUUAAAUUCUGAUCUAUGCUGCAGCCCUUCCUAAAUCCUGUUAGGCUGAGUAGGGUGGAGAUUGUAAGUUCCAAGACCUGGUUCUGUCAUUCCAAGUAUCUCUAUUGUAUCAAUUCUAAAAUCAAUCAUGACUCAAAGAACUUCCUGUUCUAUGCUUAAGCAUAGGGCAAAGCCCUUUCCAUUGUUCAGCAAAAGGUUUCUGUCCUAAAGCAGUCCCAAGUAGGGAGGAGAAGGAACCUCCCAUGCCAAGGGGAUUCACAUUCCAAUAGAGUUCCCACUAUCAGUAGGAAAUUCUUUCCAAGCAUGAAACCUUCCAAUGGUGAAAUUUCCAACAUUCAUAAGUCUAAGAAAUUUUAAGGUUUACAUAGACAUGUAGAGAAAAAUAAAUAGGGACAAAAAGGAAUAUACCUUCUUUUC